GAUUUCUCAGCUACUGCUCUAGUCCCAGGAGUUGCCCAAGUCCCGAAUAAAUUCUGUCUUGCUCAAACUUUUAAAAUUUAAUUCACCUAAGGAAUUUUCCUUUUAACAGUUUUCAUGUAGUUGGCAAGAACCAAAGUUGAACUCCAAUAGCCCAGGAGCAACCAGGCCUAGAUACUAGAAGUCUAUCCUGUUCCUGUCUUGCUGCAUCUGGGAAUUAUAGGAGACUUCUUAAAGGACCAUUCAGCAGCCAGUUGUGGUUGGGAAGUCAUCUAGAAGUAAUGAAUUAAGCAAGUUCAAAU
ensembl:lncRNA